GACGAACGCUGGCGGCGUGCUUAACACAUGCCAGUCGAACGCUGAAGCUUGGUGCUUGCACUGGGUGGAUGAGUGGCGAACGGGUGAGUAACACGUGAGUAACCUGCCCUUGACUCUGGGAUAAGCCUGGGAAACUGGGUCUAAUACUGGAUAUGACAUGCCACUGCAUGGUGGUGUGUGGAAAGGGUUUUACUGGUUUUGGAUGGGCUCACGGCCUAUCAGCUUGUUGGUGGGGUAAUGGCCUACCAAGGCGACGACGGGUAGCCGGCCUGAGAGGGUGACCGGCCACACUGGGACUGAGACACGGCCCAGACUCCUACGGGAGGCAGCAGUGGGGAAUAUUGCACAAUGGGCGGAAGCCUGAUGCAGCGACGCCGCGUGAGGGAUGACGGCCUUCGGGUUGUAAACCUCUUUCAGCACGGAAGAAGCGAGAGUGACGGUACGUGCAGAAGAAGCGCCGGCUAACUACGUG
rnacentral:rRNA from 1 species